rnacentral:lncRNA from 1 species
AAAAAUUUAAGAGAUUGAGGUCAUUUUAACUACAUUUUUUUAAAUACGGUUACAGAUUUUUAACUAUGAAUAAGGACGUUAGCAUACUUAGACUAUUCCUCGUUCUCCCCACCUCCCUUAUACUUAGUUCCUUCAUGUUUUCCUGAACUAAUUUUAUUUUUGCCUUAUUUUUCUUAAAAACUUUUAAUUUCUGCUAUUUUGCUAUAUUUUAUGAUAUGUUAAGCCAUCCUUAGUUUAUAAUAGGAACAUGGCAGAAUAUAAAUAAAUCAUAGAUAAACAUACUAGAAGUUAUUAUAAUUUAAAAUUUUGAUAAUUCUGAUUUAUGAUUUACCAGUAAUUUUUUGGUAUGCAAUAGUAUGUGUAAUGGUUACUUCUAGUUCUGUAUUCACUAUUGAAAGCACGCUUUAAAGCAGCCCAGAAGUCUCUUUAAAUCCGUAUUUACCUCUACACUAAUAAAUCUCUAUAAAUUGUUGUGUCUUCAAUUUACCAUUAAUAAGCAGUAGAAAAAAUUGUUUUGCUUUGCUUUGGUACUACUGAAAUUGUGUGUUCUAAUAUAGUGAGGCCAUGAGGUGAGUGACUCCUAGUUUGCUAUUUUUUAAAUUACAGGCUGUUAAGUCAGAUCUGCCAGGAUCAGGUCCUAAAAGUGCUAUUUUUCACACAUCAAAAUCCAAGUUGAAAUACUGGCUUGUUUGUUAAGAUUAAUUAACUAUAGGUAAUACUUGCACCUUGCCUCAUUAAAAGAAGAAAAAAUGCCCCACUAUAUUCACUCACAGAAUUUUAGUAGAAAAAUUAAUGAUGAAUGUAAACAAACUUCAUGCAAAUACAACAUUUUUACCAUUUAGGAAAAAGAAAAACAUGAUUUUUCCCCCUCCAAAAUAGAGAUAAUUACUGAUAACGCAAUUUGCAGCUGUUUUCUUCAUGUGACCUCUGUUUUUUUUUUGUUUUCAAGUAUCAGAAAAUUGCAAACUUGACCAUCUGAUCUCAGGUAGUUGAGCAGUAUUGGGUGUUAAAAAAAUACUGGAAUUAGACACAUAGUAGCUCUGUCAUAAUUGGAUUUGAACUUUGACAAGUUUCUUAGCCCUGUGAGCCUCAGUUUCAUUUGAAAAAUGAUGGGAUUAAACUAGCAGGUCACUAAGUGCCUUCUAUUUGUAAAACCUUUGUUCCUAACUGAGCUAUAUUGAAAAUAUCAGUGCCCUCUUGAGUGUUCCUAUAUCAAGUUGCAUUGCAGCAAUUUUAAAACAUUGUUCAAACAAAAUACAUUGACUUUGAAAAAUAAAAAUAUCUUUGAAAAGAAGUAUGAAAUGAAAAUAAGUAAAUAAAAAAUAUGUUGACUUCCUUUAACUUAAGCUUUAAGUGGUUUUGUGAAAUAAAACAAGUGUAACUGAGUGUCCAACCUCAACACAUCAGUGAUCAUAUUUCUGUGACAAGAACCACAUUGCAUCUCUGAAGCCCUGUAGUACUUCCCCGGGUUUGUCCUGCAGACCAAGGCACAUUGUAGUUUUAAACACAGACUGGAAAUGUUCAGAAGAUUCAGUGGAAGUCAUGGACCAGGAAAGAUGGAGUUGGUGGUAAUUCAGACAAUUAGUUUAUUUGCUCUGAUGAUUUCUCUAGGUUCCAGAAGUACAUGUUUUAAAUUAUAGUGGCUAUUUGUCCCAUGAAUUACCUGAAAUUAAACAGUUUAAUUUUAAAAAAGCAGUAUUUAUUUAGAAAUUAAAGAUUUUUGAAAAAUUUGCAUAUGGUAAUGAAUAACUUUAUCUUCUAUUAGAUGAUCAUCAUGAAAAAGUAAAUGAAUGUAUUUAAAUUAAUGGGUUUCAAAGAUUAGACACAAGCCCUGGACUUUCAAAAUAUAUCUUUUAGAUUAUAAAAAUAAUUCAUGCUAAUCAUAGAAAUUUUAUAAUUUACAGGAAAGUAUAAAGAAAAAUAAAUUUAUCAGUUUCAUCAUCUGGAGAUAACUGCUGCUCCCAUUUUUCUGUACUUUUUUCUUUUUCCAUUCACACCAACAAAAAUAUUUUCACUUUAAGUGUCAGUGGGAUUAUAUUGUAUAUACAGUUUUUGAUUCCUCCCCUUCCCACUCAUAUCCUUAUAUGAUUAUAGAAAAAUGUCUCUAAUUGCUACAUAAUAUUCCCUUGUUUUGACCAUUCAAAUAUCUUGCCAGCUUUUAAUGAUUAUAAAUACUGCUACAAUAAAGAUCCUUGCAUAUAA